UGUGGGUGUUCGCCUUUUCGGUGAAG
rnacentral:miRNA from 14 species